GUGCCAGCAGCCGCGGUAAUACGUAGGUGGCAAGCGUUAUCCGGAAUUAUUGGGCGUAAAGCGCGCGCAGGCGGUUUCUUAAGUCUGAUGUGAAAGCCCACGGCUCAACCGUGGAGGGUCAUUGGAAACUGGGGAACUUGAGUGCAGAAGAGAAAAGCGGAAUUCCACGUGUAGCGGUGAAAUGCGUAAGGAUGUAGAGAAACACCAGUGGCGAAGGCGUCUUUUUGG
rnacentral:rRNA from 1 species